AAUAGAUACCCGGGUAGUCCACGCCGUAAACGUUGGGCGCUAGAUGUGGGGACCUUUCCACGGUUUCCGUGUCGUAGCUAACGCAUUAAGCGCCCCGCCUGGGGAGUACGGCCGCAAGGCUAAAAACUCAAAGGAAUUGACGGGGGCCCGCACAAGCGGCGGAGCAUGCGGAUUAAUUCGAUGCAACGCGAAGAACCUUACCAAGGCUUGACAUACACGAGAACGGGCCAGAAAUGGUCAACUCUUUGGACACUCGUGAACAGGUGGUGCAUGGUUGUCGUCAGCUCGUGUCGUGAGAUGUUGGGUUAAGUCCCGCAACGAGCGCAACCCUCGUCGCAUGUUGCCAGCACGUUAUGGUGGGGACUCAUGUGAGACUGCCGGGGUCAACUCGGAGGAAGGUGGGGAUGACGUCAAAUCAUCAUGCCCCUUAUGUCUUGGGCUUCACGCAUGCUACAAUGGCCGGUACAAAGGGCUGCGAUGUCGUAAGGCGGAGCGAAUCCCAAAAAGCCGGUCUCAGUUCGGAUUGAGGUCUGC
rnacentral:rRNA from 1 species